GGGAAUUCGGGCAGGCCGUUCCAAAUUUGGCCCAUGAAAAUUGGCUGCUUCAUCUGGAAAAAAAAUUUUUUAAACAGUUGACAGAGUCUAAUGAUGACCUCUGACAUCUGAUCUUAAUUUGGAAUAAUACUGUUUCAAGAGCAACAUAUUAUAUGUAAUUUUAACAGUUGAUCUUUGGCUUUAUGAUGCUGUUAAAUAUUAUUCAUUUAUAUUUUGUGUUGUGAAUUUUAAGCAGUGUUAAAUUAGCAGUAUUAAAUGAACAAUAUUAAAGUAACAGUAGUAAACCAUUUUAAAUGAUUUUAACCAUUUAAAACCUACGUUUUUUUGUUUUGUAUUUUUUUUAUUGUGGUGAAAUAUAUAUAAUGUAAAAUUUGCCAUCUUAAUGAUUUAAAACAAAUUUUUUUUUUUGGUCUUUUUGGGGCCAUAUCUGCGGCAUAUGGAGGUGACAGAUGGGCACUGGAGGGAAGCUGACAGAAGGAAUGUCCCAGGGUGACACAUCUGCUUGUUUUGUCACUGCCCAGCCAGCAGAGGCAACCACACAAGAGGUGCAUGAUGCCCGCUUUUCAGCAGGACCCUGAUGGAAAUUAAUGUAUUAAUGUCACACAUAAAGAAUGUGAAGGAGCUUAAAUUAAUAUUCACUCCCCAGGGACCUUGGCAAUUUCCAACAAGGCUUCGAGGAGUCACAGGGGAUGUGGAAAGUCGGAGGAGCAGUAGUUGGAAGCAUUGGGCAGUUUUUAAUCUAAAGAGGCUUUGAGCUUGUGAAGCUUGACUCUGGGGAGCAAGAAGAGUGUGGGCAAAAGCCAGGUCUCUGCAGGUCCUCUUCCCUGUUCAGGCUCAGGUGCUUUUAGCUCUAGAAAUUUCUCCCCACCUCACACUCCCUUGGCCUUCACCCUCCACCCUUCAUCUUCUUCUGCAAUCUUAAUUUCCAAGGUGGUCUCUUCAAUAGAAAGAUGUGGAACUCCACCCCCUGCUUCUCCCCUGGCCUCCCUGCCUGGCCAGCCCUCGCCCAGCCGUGUCUGUGCUGUGUGACAUUAGCAGUGUGCUUGCUCUCUCUGUGCCCUCCUUCCUUAUUUGAGAUCAUGACUGUAAUUACUUUGCAGGGGAGAUGGGUUGAUAGGUGGAAUAUGGGUUUAGCUCAGGCCUGCCACCUGUCCACCGCUGUUGCCUGUCCAUGUGAGUGGCAGCCUCCUGGAGCGGGGUUCAGGUGACCUCAGGGUGACCAAGGAGGAAAGCCACGAGGACCCUCACCUUGCACCAGGGAGGCAGGUCCAUAUGUGGUUGCCUGGACCACACCAGGGAUGCUCACAUCUUCUUUUGUUUUGAGGGACCUGUGCCUGGCACCUCUCACAUGCUGGCUUUCUCUUUUCUUUCUCUGCAAUUUUAUUUCAUUCAUUCUUUUUUUUUUUUUUUUUUUUUUUUUUUGCAGGUAAACAUUUUAUUUAAAUGAGGCAGUUUUUGUGAAUGCAUACACUCUAUUAAAAUGUUUUAGUUUUAAUGAGGGAUUAAAUGGUGUUCUGCACAGCAUGCAGUCAUUUUAUUUUAAACUUUGGAAUGAUUCUAGAUGUGCAGAAAGUUGCAACAAUAGUUCGCAGCCCCUUCACCCAGCUCCCUGAUGCAACAUCUUAAAUCACCUGGUGCUUUGCUCAGGCCUGUGGGAACAGCGUCCUUCUGACAGACUCGGCCCUGUUGGGAUUGAUGGGUCCUGGGAGUGUCCUUUUUCUGCCCCAGCCAGAGUCCCACACUGUGUCUGCAGUUACUUUUCCCCAGUCCCCUCCAAGCUGUGAUGCUUCCUUGGUCCUCCUUCCUGUCUUUGGGCCUCGGCACUUUUGAGGAGGACCGGUCAGGUGUCCUGUGGUUUGUGCCUCUGCUUGGGUUUCUCUGCUCUUUCCUCCCCAUUGGGCCUGGGCUGAGGGUUUGAGGAGACCAGAGCGGAAGGUACUUAUCAUUUCUCAUCAGGGGUUAGUUUUUUAUAAGAGUUGACUCAGGGAGUUCCCGAUGUGGCACAUUGGGUUAAGAACCUGAUUGCAGCUGUUCAUGCAGCUGCAGAGGCCUGGGUUUGAUCUCCUCCAGGCACCAUGAUGAAAGGAUCCGGAUUCAAUCCCUGACCUGGGAACUUCCAUAUGCUGCAGGUGAGGCCAUUAAAAAAAAAAAAAAAAAAAAGACUUAUUCUUGAUGGUCCUUCCAGCUCUGCUUCAUCUGUUACUGCUUAAUGAGUCUACAAAUGAAGGUGCAAAGUGCUCUCACCAAGGUGCUGGCCCCGAGAUUCUCCUGAAUCUGAAACUUUCCUCCCGGUGCCGGUGCCGGUGCCGGUGCAGUGGAAGUCACAGCUUCAAGGCCUUCCUCACAUGUGGAUUGGCUCCGUGGCCCAAGGGAAAUGGUAACUAGAGCUUUUAAAAGACCUCUUUGGCUUUGGAGUUUCCUUGACUGAAGAAUUGCAGCCAAAGAGCAAAACCUUUUAUAUUUCUUCUCCUCUGUUUACCGGCUGCAUCCCAGCUCUGGGAGUUGUCUCUGAACACGUGUGACUCUGAAACCUUCAGUCAAGGAAGAACCGGCAGAAAAACAGUUCAUGCUUAGUUUAGAAAACUCAGAUGUGGAAGACAAGUUGUCCAGAAGGUAGCUGGUGUGAAAUAAUGAAGAGCAUCUGAGCAUCUGGACAGCCUGGUCCUGGAGAGUACCCUCCUGGUCCUGGCGGGGGAGGCCUCCUGGUCCUGGCAGGCCUUCUCAAUUCUGGGGGAGUAUCCGCCUGACCCCUCCUGGUCCUGGUGGGGACCGGAGCCUCUGGGAGAGUCCUUGUUGCUGAGGCGGCACUUAAUUCAUAACUGAGCCUCAUCGUGCUCACACUCACGUGCAGCUUCUCUGCAGCGCUGAUGAUGCUGUCGGGCUGCAUUUUCCUUGCUCACUGGCCCUGCUGCAUCAUCGUAAAGGGCCCAGGAUACAUCGCAGGUCUUAAAAGAUAUGUCCGCAAAGUAAUUUCUUUAAGAUGGAAAAAGUGAAAGGAAACGUCUCUGCUUCUUCACAGAUGAAGUAACCAGGCAGGCAGGGGGUGCAGGAGAGCCUUGCCGCCCUGAACCUCACACCCACCCUGCUGGGGUGGGGUUCUGGACUCCUGUUCUUGCACUCUGGCGCCUCCCAGCAGUCAUUCAUUCCUGGACUCCAGCUGCCAGCUUGUGGGAGGUUGUCCGAAUUCCCGUUCCUGAGCCUGGAGGGCAGACACGUUACCUGGUUACGUGGUUAUGUGAUCGUAUAAAGAAAGGGCAAUACCGUGAAUUCUUAUUUCUGGGGAUCCCCACCUGCCUUUUUUCAUUUAUAAAAACAUGUGUGUUAACUUAUGAUUAAGAAGACAGACUUUCAUGUACUGCUUAUGGUUCACGAAGCAGAAAUACUGCAUUUUAAACUUUAAAAGAUGUUUGCAAUGCUGUUUUUAAAGCUUGCCGUCAGAUGCCUACGGAAGACCUUUCCAGUGGGGUGAGAAUAGUAGCACACAUCAGUGGGAUCCUCGAUCCAGUGCUCUGCUGGGUCAGCGCAGGUGAUGCAGGGCAGGGUGAAGUGGAGGUUCUGCCCCAAGAUGCAGGCAAGAUGCAGGUUUGAUAUGCAGGCAAGCCUGGGGUCACCCAGGAAAGCACACAGCAGGUCUUUGUUGGCGAUGUGCUGUCAGCCUGUAUCGGCGGCCCAUCCAAAUUAUUAAAUUAUUAGAUGCAGGUAGACCCCCUUUUCCUGUCCUGUUGCUGAGCCCUGGCUUUCAUUGUUCAGGCUUCUCCAUCCUCUGGCUUUUGCUCACACGGGUCAGAGGCCGAUGUCCGCAGUUGCUAACUGUGCAGCAUUUUACUGGCGGCUGCCCUUGAGGUGCUUUUAUUUAGUCUGAUCCGCAGAGCCCGAAAAGGCCCUGUACGUUUGCGGCAGUUUCUUUCUUAAAAGCCACAGCAAACUUUCUUUAGAAGGGUAAUUACUUUAAUAAUGACUUUUGAUCAUUUCAGACUCUGAGAGGCUGGGGGAGUCCUGCCUCCCAAGGGCACCAGCCUCUGGCUUGGGUACUUCAUUUACACGUUCUCGGGAAAGUCCGAUUGGGUUCAAUUAGCAUUCCCUCCUGUUUAAUCCGUCAGACUUCUGUUUCCCAACCCGGGAUUGAGGGCGGGCUAAGCGCCUGUUGUGACUUUGACCUUGGCCUGGGUCUGCCUCUCCCGGCUUAGCUGGAAAUGUGUUAAAAGGACUUUGAUGGUAUAUAGAGGAAUAACUGAGCAUGAACACCUGAUUGUGAAGCCCUGUGCUUGCCUCCUUUUUAUUAGGACCAAAGGAUCAUGGAGUGAAUUAGAGCAAAACCCUUGAAGGAUUUUUCCCUGCGAGGCAGCUGUGAGAGCAGGUCUGCGGAGCUGGGCGCUGGUGGGGAUGAGGGCGAGCACUUUCAUUUUAAUCAUCUGGAAAAGCCUUGCUCGGAGGAUAGUAGUUUGCACAUAAGUAACGUUUUCUUUUUGCCCUAAUUUGCUUGGCUUGCUGCUGAUGGGAUGGCAUUUGGGGGCAGAGCGUGGCCUCAAGGCCGACCGCUGCCCUCUCCUGCCAGGAGGAGCCGUCUCAGUGCAGAAAGCAGUACUGUGGAUCAGUUAAUUAUAACUUCACUACGUUCCUCUUUCCGUCUUUGGCUUUUAUCCGUGGUCUCUAAUGAGCGGGGCUGUGUCUUUCUCUGCCCCCUGUGCGUGGGGACAUGUGUGGCCUCAAGCCUUCCUGGCUUUGGUGCUUCCACCUAUGUGGAUGUUCUGGAGACUUCUGUGUGUCAGGCCUGCAGUUCCUGGUAGAUGAAGUAUUACGGCGAGACUCGUCCUCCCCUUCUCUGGUAAUCCUGGGGGUUGCCUUUUGAUUAAAGUCGUACGGUGGUUUGAUUUGAGUUUGUAAGAAGGAGUCUCUGGGUUUGAAGCAUGGAAAUCGUAGGUAUCCUCUGCUGGGCGGGACCCACCAGUGCCAGGUGUGGCAAUGGGCAGGAGUGAUCUUGUGGCUCAGUGUGGCCACCAUGGGCUCUCCAGGAAAGCUUGGGAGCACUUCUGUGACAAAAGCACUCAGCAGAUGAAUUGAGAUGCCUUGAAGGAAAAUACUUUUUAAAUUUUUUUAAAUUAAAAAAACAUUUUUUUUUUCUUUUUUAGGGCCAUACCUGCAGCAUGUGGAGAGGUUCCUAGGCUUGGGUCCAAUCGGAGCUACAGCUGCUGGCCUACGCCACAGCCACAGCCAUGCCAGAUCUGAGUUGUGUCUGCAGCCUACACCACAGCUCACGGCACCGCUGGAUCCUUAACCCACUGAGCGAGGUCAGGGAUUGAACCUGGGUCCUUAUGGAUGCUAGUCAGAUUCGCUUCCGUUGAGCCACUAGGGGAACUCCCUAACUUUGAUUUUAAUCAGGAAUAUAUUAUGGUGCAAAAUAGGGUGGAAAGAGUUCAUAUGUUUUAUCUCUGGCUUUGGGGAAAAUCACUGGACAAGGGGGAGAGGAAGAGGGAGAGAGGCUUUUCCUUGAUGACCCCCCCUGCCCUGGACGGAGGCCAGCACUCUGGUCUGCAGGUGUAGAUGCCCAGAUGAACCAGCUACCUGCCCAGGUGUGAGUACCGCCUGGUGGGCGAGCUGGCCCAGGUGGGCAAGCAGCAGUUGUCUGUUGGCUGUCAGCAUAGCCAGUCCUGAGGGUGUGGGCCUGGGGCUCAGGCCCCAGAACCCGAUCUGGUGUGGUGAUGGGGUUGGACUUUGGUUUCUAUGCACUUCCUCCUUGAAUAUUUACACCAUGACUGAAUCUGGGAUCUGGGAUGGAACGAAGAAGGGAUCUGAAUAUGCUGGGGGCCAAGGAUAUCCCAGACACUGGCUUAAGUCUGUAGGUGCACUUUCUCCUCUCACAUCUGGGAGACCAGAUUCAUCGUUGUCGUCAUCCUAAAGAAACCCAGGGUUUCUGACAACUGCAGAAGCCCUGGGUGAUGAGUGACCUCCUCAAAUUCUCCUGAAGGCCAAAGUAAAGAGGAUGAUCCAGGGCUUUUUCAAAGCACUGGUCCAGGCAUGGCCAGGCUGCCACCUUGGACCCCCUGGUCCGAGGCUGCAGGUAGCAUCAUCCACUCACACCAUGAUUCUGUUUUCAGCAGGGGGGGGGCGCUUGGUGGUGGUGAAGGUGUUGCAGUAGAGACAGUGGAUGUGUGUACAUGCGUAAUUAAAUCACUUUGUUUUACAGCAGAAAGUAAUGCAACAUUGUAAAUUAACUAUAACAAAAUUUUUAAAAAAGAAAAAAAAAA
rnacentral:lncRNA from 1 species